AGUUAAGUUUGCAAAGUGUGUUAAAAUUAAAAUAGAAGGCCGGGCAUGGUGGCUCAUGCCUGUAAUACCAGCACUUUGGGAGGCCAAGGGGGGCAGAUCACCUGAGGUCGGUAGUUCAAGACCAGCCUGACCAACAUGGAGAAACUCCAUCUCUACUAAAAAUACAAAAUUAGCCAGGUUUGGUGGUGCAUGCCUGUAAUCUCAGCUACUCAGGAGCCUGACACAGGAGAAUCAACUGAACCUGGGAGGCGAAGGUUGUGGUGAGCCAAGAUCACGCCACUGCACUCCAGCCUGGGCAACAAAAGUGAAACUCCGUCUCA
rnacentral:lncRNA from 1 species